rnacentral:rRNA from 1 species
UACGUAGGGUCCAAGCGUUGUCCGGAUUUAUUGGGCGUAAAGGGCUCGUAGGCGGCCAACUAAGUCGGACGUGAAAUCCCCAGGCUCAACCUGGGAACUGCGUCCGAUACUGGAUGGCUUGAAUUCGGGAGAGGGAUGCAGAAUUCCAGGUGUAGCGGUGAAAUGCGCAGAUAUCAGGAGGAACACCGGUGGCGAAGGCGGGUCUCUGGGCCGAUACUGACGCUGAGGAGCGAAAGCGUGGGGAGCAAACAGG